GCACGGUUAGCCAAACGGCCAGGCGACAGGUUGCAACCCUGUUGAAAUCGGUUCGACUCCGGUACCGUGCU
rnacentral:tRNA from 1 species